GAGGAUAUAGCUCAGUGGUAGAGCACAUGCUUAGCAUGCAUGAGGUCCUGGGUUCAAUCCCCAGUACCUCCA
rnacentral:tRNA from 1 species